UUCAUACUCCCUCCGUCCGAAAAAGCUUGUCCCAAGCUUGUCCCAUAAAUGAAUGUAUCUAGCAUUAACUUGGUGCUAGAUACAACCAUUUGGGGACAAGCUUUUUCGGACGGAGGGAGUAUAUA
rfam:Triticum aestivum genome assembly, contig: Triticum_aestivum_CS42_TGACv1_scaffold_112612_2AS